UCGGGAAACCGGAGCUAAUACCGGAUAAGAUAUCGAACCGCAUGGUUCGAUAGUGAAAGAUGGUUUUGCUAUCACUUAUAGAUGGACCCGCGCCGUAUUAGCUAGUUGGUGAGGUAACGGCUCACCAAGGCAACGAUACGUAGCCGACCUGAGAGGGUGAUCGGCCACACUGGAACUGAGACACGGUCCAGACUCCUACGGGAGGCAGCAGUC
rnacentral:rRNA from 1 species